AACCAAKCGGUCGGCUUGUCCGGUCCGUUUGCCUUGGUGACUCUGAAUAACUUUGGGCUGAUCGCACGGUCCUGGUACCGGCGACGCAUCUUUCAAAUGUCUGCCUUAUCAACUGUCGAUGGUAGGUUCUGCGCCUACCAUGGUUGUAACGGGUAACGGGGAAUCAGGGUUCGAUUCCGGAGAGGGAGCCUGAGAAACGGCUACCACAUCCAAGGAAGGCAGCAGGCGCGCAAAUUACCCACUCCCGGCACGGGGAGGUAGUGACGAAAAAUAACGAUACGGGACUCAUCCGAGGCCCCGUAAUCGGAAUGAAUACACUUUAAAUCCUUUAAUGAGUAUCCAUUGGAGGGCAAGUCUGGUGCCAGCAGCCGCGGUAAUUCCAGCUCCAAUAGCGUAUAUUAAAGUUGUUGCGGUUAAAAAGCUCGUAGUUGGAUUUGUGUCCCACGCUGUCGGUUCAUCGCUCGUCGGUGUCUAACUGGCAUGAUUCGUGGGACGUCCUGCCGGUGGUGGCGAGUCGAAAGCGUGCACCCGUNGUGGUUUCCACUUCGGUUCUUGGGCGCCGUAGGCGGACCCCGAUGAAAUCCUACCGCGGUGCUCUUCACCGAGUGUCGAGGUGGGCCGGCACGUUUACUUUGAACAAAUUAGAGUGCUUAAAGCAGGCCUGUUGCGCCUGAAUACUGUGUGCAUGGAAUAAUGGAAUAGGACCUCGGUUCUAUUUUGUUGGUUUUCGGAACCCGAGGUAAUGAUUAAUAGGGACAGGCGGGGGCA
rnacentral:rRNA from 1 species